rnacentral:misc_RNA from 1 species
CUGUCCCUGCAGCUGAGCCU